rnacentral:misc_RNA from 1 species
CCAAACUUGGUCAUUUAGAGGAAGUAAAAGUCGUAACAAGGUUUCCGUAGGUGAACCUGCGGAAGGAUCAUUAGAGACGAGGGAUUAGUUGUAUUAAAAGAGCAAGUGGGGAUUGCUGGUGAUUGUAGUGUAUAUGCACAUGGCUAUGUUGCUCAUCAUGACAAUAUGAAUAUAAUGGUAUAUUAUCGUCGUGGCAUGAUGGACGAUUGAUUCGUGUGAAAUGUACUACAUCCUUGUAACCCCGCGGCGGUCGCUGGGACUGUAAACCAGAGGGUGGCGAAAGCUAGCCCUAAUCCAGGGCUAACGAAAGCUAACCCUGAUUCUAACCAGUUACCAAUUAAAAACAAACAAAAGAACCUCGCCGCAAUGGAUCUCUCGGCUCUUGCAUCGAUGAAGAACGCAGC